rnacentral:ncRNA from 1 species
CAAUCCGUGAGGAACGGUCUGAAGGAAGCCGCUAGCAAACCUGUGAGCUGAUGAACAAGAACAUCAUAUGAGGCGUAGGCAGAAGGCGAGUCAGCACAAGAUGACGAAGCCAGGUGAUCUGAUGGCCACCGUAAAUGAUGCAGUUGUGCAGGGAAAGUUCAUGUU